UUUAUCUGGCCUGUUGGUACAGAGGAAAGUGCUAAACAGGAGUAUGACCCUUAUUAAUGGAUCAGAAGCUCUUAGUUGAGAGGUGUCCAAUCCUGCUGCUGGAAGCUCAAAGUCCUGCAGAAUUUAGGGCUGCAUCCAAAAGCUGGAAAACCUUGCACCUCCAGGCAGCAGAGGGCAACAAGACUUGUCCUAAUCCUACGAUUGUGCCAUAUCCUGUCUACUGAGGUACCUUCAUGACCACACAUCAUGGCCACACUGUACAUAAACCAAAAGGGAGAGAAACCAGUAGAAGCCUGUGGCUUCUUUACAUGCAAAUAACUUCACAGGUUUCACUGGAUGAGUUAGAAUAUCACAGUCAUAAAAAGAAAGGCAUUUCAAGGUAUUUGUCUCAUUCACCUCCUGGCUCUGUCUAGAUUUUGCAUGAGUGAAAACAACAUGACAGGUAUUACUUGGCUUCAAUAAGUCCAUUAACGCAGGACAAUUGUGACUAAUGAUCACAGGAAAUGGAAGUUUUGGUGCUAGACCCACUUUAAUUAGGUAGGAUUGCUCAUUAACGCCUAAAUACACUUCAGUGACCGAAUAUGACCGUGGAACAUAACAGACAUUGGUAAGCUUUUUAUUCAGGUUUAUUCAAUUAUUAUGGCCUAUCUGGCCAAAACUAAAACACUUAAUAAUCCCAACUGUGGUUAAUAUAGACGUUUCUGUUUGUUUCAUUAAUCUCUCGCCAAUACUCUUACUCCCUUCUUGCAGUGAGGUUGUCUUGCGGGAAAAAAGCUUGUCCCUUGCGGUCUUCCACUGAGCAAUACACCAAGUCCCAGGCCUUUGCCUAGCUGCCACAAAGACAUUCACCUGCCUGGUGGCCUCCUCAGUGGAGGACGGAUCAUGCUCUUUAAGCCAGAUUUGCAGUUCGGGACACAACAUUCUCAAAUUCUGUUCCAAAAAGAUAGUUUCUGCAGGUUUCACCCCCUUGUAGAACAAAUCCUUCAAACGAACGUGCAAUUACUUAGGAGGUUCUUCCAUCAGCACCUCCAUGGAACGAAACCCCUGACGAUAGGUCUCAGCAUAGAUAGAGUAUUUUUUUUUAAAAUGGCCUCUAUCACCUGCCCAUAGUCAUUCGCUUCCUCCAUAUCCAUAGACACAUAGGCAACAUGGGCCUUGCCAGUGAUUAAAGGAACUAGUCAAAUGGCCAAAUUCUCCUGAGGCCAUUUGCACACAGUACCAAUUCACUCAAAGGUAGUCAGAUAAUGCUCAAUGUCACCCAUCUUACUGAGCUGCUGCAUCUUUGGCUCUUUCAAUGGACCCCCGCAGUUGGAUGUUGAACUCCAUCAGAAUCUUUGGAAGAAGUGCCUAGACCCUCACUCUCCCCUAGUGGCA